rnacentral:rRNA from 1 species
GACGAACGCUGGCGGCGUGCUUAACACAUGCAAGUCGAACGGCAAGGCCCUGCUUUUGUGGGGUGCUCGAGUGGCGAACGGGUGAGUAACACGUGAGUAACCUGCCCUUGACUUUGGGAUAACUUCAGGAAACUGGGGCUAAUACCGGCUAGGAGCUCCUGCUGCAUGGUGGGGGUUGGAAAGUUGCGGCGGUUGGGGCUGGACUCGCGGCUUAUCAGCUUGUUGGUGGGGUAGUGGCUUACCCAGGCUUUGACGGGUAGCCGGCCUGAGAGGGGGACCGGCCACCUGGGGACUGAGAGACGGCCCAGACUCCUACGGUAGAUAGCAGUGGGGAAUAUUGCACAAUGGGCGGAAGCCUGAUGAAGCAACGCCCGGUGCGGGAUGACGGCCUGCGGGUUGUAAACCGCUUUCGCCUGUGACGAAGCGGGAGUGACGGUAAUGGGUAAAGAAGCACCGGCUAACUACGUG